UUUAAUAUAGCAAAAUUAGUGCAUUGAAUUUAAAUUUCAAAUAUAAAGUAAGCAUCUUUUAUUAAAA
rnacentral:tRNA from 1 species